rnacentral:rRNA from 1 species
UACGUAGGGGGCUAGCGUUGCUCGGAAUCACUGGGCGUAAAGCGCACGUAGGCGGCUUGUUAAGUCAGGGGUGAAAUCCUGGAGCUCAACUCCAGAACUGCCUUUGAUACUGGCGAUCUCGAGUCCGGGAGAGGUGAGUGGAACUGCGAGUGUAGAGGUGAAAUUCGUAGAUAUUCGCAAGAACACCAGUGGCGAAGGCGGCUCACUGGCCCGGUACUGACGCUGAGGUGCGAAAGCGUGGGGAGCAAACAGG